CGAUUCAAGCAUAGCAACAUUAUUAUUCACCACGUUCGCGGAAAAGAGUAGAUAAUUGCAGAAGAAAGUGACGUGGAAAGUGAUAAUUGCAGAAGACGUGGACGUGACGAAAGACGGAAUUAUUUAUUAGAACCUGUUUAUCUUUGGUAAACUUGUUUAACAUGUAAAAAGAAAAUUUUUUAUAACGAAAGUUAGUUAAAACAUUUUUUUUUUUUUUUAAUGUUU